UCUGCCAGUCAUCAACUUGAGCUACCUGGCAUGUCCAGCCUGCCUCUCACUAACACACUCUGACAUGCCUAGAGUCCAGGAAUGUCCUGCCAGACACACAGACAAACAGGCCUGAUCAGGUUCCUGUCACCACUGUCUCUCACACACCCAGCAGUUCUACAUGGAAGUGCUCACUGUCGACUGUCUGGGAUGAAGAAACAGGAAAUAGUCAACAGUUUCACUUGGACUGGACACAAGAGCAGUUGAAAUGUGUAGACAGUGGGCCAUCAGCUGCUUGUCAGACAACCACAAGGUGAGGGUAUGGACAGGGAACAAACUGGACAACUGGGUUGUAACUGGACAACUGGGUUGUAACUGGACACUGUGUUGCAACUGAACCACUAUGUUGCAACUGGACAACUGUGUUGCAACUGGACACUGUUGUAACUGGGCAACUAUGUUGUAUAACUGGACAACUGUGUUGCAACUGGACAACUAUGUCGCAACUGGACAACUGUGUUGCAACUAGACACUGUGUUGCAACUGGACACUGUGUUGAAGGAGUGUGGGCAUCAUGGACCACUCACACAAUGCAUGGUGUAACAUAGGACAAUGGCAACAGAUUGGUUGAAGGUCAUGGGAUGAAGAGCUGUAGCCAUGGAGACGUCUGACUAAAUAUGGCAGUAGUGAUACAGCAUCGGCAGCCAUCUUGAAUGUUGCUACCUUGUAGAUUAUGACAAGAAUGCGUUGGCUGCAGCUUUGGUUUCUGGGGGCUCUGGGAGUCCUAGUGUGCCAAUGGCACCCCAACCUACCUGACUAUCAAAGGCUUCUGCCUGUAAGUUUGCUGUCAGUAGACUAAAGUCCUAGCAGGCUGGCUGGGGGAUAUCCUACAGAUAUGUCUGAUGU